UGGUGGAGCGAUUUGUCUGGUUAAUUCCGAUAACGAACGAGACUCUAGCCUGCUAAAUAGACGCAUGAUCGACAUCUUAAAGGCCCGUAUCGGUCCGGGGCGGUCCGCCGUCUCGGUCCAGGCGCGGUUUUUACUGUCGGCGUACAAUAAAUUCUUCUUAGAGGGACAGGCGGCUUCUAGCCGCACGAGAUUGAGCAAUAACA
rnacentral:rRNA from 1 species